rnacentral:rRNA from 1 species
UACGUAGGGAGCAAGCGUUGUCCGGAUUUACUGGGUGUAAAGGGUGCGUAGGCGGCUUUGCAAGUCAGAAGUGAAAUCCAUGGGCUUAACCCAUGGACUGCUUUUGAAACUGCAGAGCUUGAGUGGAGUAGAGGUAGGCGGAAUUCCCGGUGUAGCGGUGAAAUGCGUAGAGAUCGGGAGGAACACCAGUGGCGAAGGCGGCCUGCUGGGCUCUAACUGACGCUGAGGCACGAAAGCGUGGGUAGCAAACAGG